UGCAGUCGAGGGGUAACAGAGAAAAGCUUGCUUUUUUGCUGACGACCGGCGAACGGGUGCGUAACGCGUAUGCAAUCUACCUUUUGCUAAGGGAUAGCCCAGAGAAAUUUGGAUUAAUACCUUAUAGUAUACUUACUUGGCAUCGAGAAAGUAUUAAAGAUUACGGCAAAAGAUGAGCAUGCGUUCUAUUAGCUAGUUGGUGUGGUAACGGCACACCAAGGCAACGAUAGAUAGGGGUCCUGAGAGGGAGAUCCCCCACACUGGUACUGAGACACGGACCAGACUCCUACGGGAGGCAGCAGUGAGGAAUAUUGGACAAUGGAGGCAACUCUGAUCCAGCCAUGCCGCGUGCAGGAAGACUGCCCUAUGGGUUGUAAACUGCUUUUAUACAGGAAGAAACAUCUCUACGUGUAGAGGCUUGACGGUACUGUAAGAAUAAGGAUCGGCUAACUCCGUGCCAGCAGCCGCGGUAAUACGGAGGAUCCAAGCGUUAUCCGGAAUCAUUGGGUUUAAAGGGUCCGUAGGUGGAUAAUUAAGUCAGAGGUGAAAUCCUGCAGCUUAACUGUAGAAUUGCCUUUGAUACUGGUUGUCUUGAGUUGUUAUGAAGUAGUUAGAAUAUGUAGUGUAGCGGUGAAAUGCAUAGAUAUUACAUAGAAUACCAAUUGCGAAGGCAGAUUACUAAUAAUAUACUGACACUGAUGGACGAAAGCGUGGGGAGCGAACAGGAUUAGAUACCCUGGUAGUCCACGCCGUAAACGAUGGUCACUAGCUGUUCGGUUUUCGAAUUGAGUGGCUAAGCGAAAGUGAUAAGUGACCCACCUGGGGAGUAC
rnacentral:rRNA from 1 species